CCCCUUCCCUUCCUCCCCUCCCCUUUAUCUCACCUUCACCCCCUUUCCUCCUACACCCCUUCCGUGUCCCCACCCCCUGCCCUCAGUCCUCCUUCCUCCUCUUCCCCACAUCCCACCUCUCCUUUCCCCCUCCUUGUAGGCCCUCUUUCUCCUCAGCCCCCCUCCCCCCGCCUUUAGUCUCCUACCUCCCCUACAGCCUCCUGCCCCCGCCUCCUCACAGCCCCCUACUUACCCUACUGCCUCCCUCCUGGGGCCCUUUCCUCCCCAAGGGCCCCUCUGUUUUCUCCCAUUCCAGCCCCUGACCAGGCCCUGCUCCUCUGCUGGGGUCGGCCCCGCACAGUAAGCUGCCUGGGAGCCCUCAUUGCCUUCCUGGGCAACCCGGCCAAAGGCCCCCCGAGCAGCUGCAGCCCUGGAGGUCAGCCUCACCCUGGCAGACCGCAGGGGCCCCUCCUCACCGCCGACCUCUGCACCUUCACCCGUUUGCCUGGUGUCUGAGGAAGGGCCCGCAGGAAGAGCAUUCCUUUCCCAGGGUCUUCCUCAGGAGGGAUGAGAGGAAGCAAAAGCUUGGUCUGCAAACGGGCUGGUCCUCCCGACGGCCACAUCCGCAGGAAUGACCCUCAGAGGGGCUCCCCAACUGGCUGGGAGAUUCGUCCAGCUGGGCGCUCUGCUACACAGCCCCGUCAAGGGCAAACAGAUGACAAAACUGAGACACAAAAGAUGAAUCAGCUUGGCAGUGUUCACAGAGCCAGCGUGUGGAAAAGCCAGAAUCCAGACCCAGACCCGAACUGCAGCGUCCCGGCUCUUACCCCUAACCAGCCAGUGCCUCUCAGCUUAGUGCUCUUCCACCCGGCUUUUCUUUCUAAAAAGUGAGUUUCG
rnacentral:lncRNA from 1 species